rfam:Gossypium arboreum cultivar AKA8401 contig_17906_7, whole genome shotgun sequence.
AACCCAUGGUAAUGGCACCUUCUCAACAGAUCCUUGUAUCUCUCUCAUGCAUCAUAAAGUGUUUCUAGAUCCAUCUACACAAAAGAAGAGAUGUCAUUUCUUAACUU